GCCGGCGCCGCACGCCGGGCGUCCGGCCCCGACCGCGCUCGGAAGCGCCGAGGCCGCUGCACCCGCCCUUUGUUCGAGCCUGCGGCGCGGCCUUCGGGCGACCUGGGGCUCCUGAAGCCUCGCGGCGGCUUCCCGGGUGCGGGUCUGGCCCAGGGAGGCCCCAGAGCUUCCUGGUUCCCGCCGACCCGGGGGGUCCACAUCCUCCUGGGGAGGAACGUGCAGAACGGGAGUAGUCCGGCUUCUUCUUAGAAGGUAGUCUUAUAUUCACUGCUGUCUUUCCAGAACCUAAUACUUCUCGAACCCAGGCCUCAAGACAGCAUACAUCUUCUGCCUUAGCUCUUUCGGGACAUUCUGGUCAUCAUGUAAGGGAGUCCAGACUGGACUGCUGAGUGAGAGACCACAUGGAGAAGAGGCCUAGCCAAGAGAAGCCAAAACCCCUAAUGUGUGAACAAGACCAUUUUAGACUCCCACCCCAUUCGAGCUGCCUGAUGACUGCUGUUAGUAGAAAAACGUUCCAGCUGAUCAGAGCCCAAACUGCUGACCCACACAAUUGCAGGAAAUAAUAAACAGUGGUUGUUUCAAGUAACUAAGUUUUAGGGUGGCUUGUUAAUGCCACAUUAUCACUUAUAUUGUUGUAGUAUCCUUGUAAACCUGUCUUCCUCUACACCCCCCCCUUUAUUCCAUAUGUUCUCCAGGAAGCAGUCAGAAUGAUCUUUUUCAGAUUAAUAUCAGUUUGUUACUCCUGUUUUCAGGACCUUGACUGGCUUCCUCUCUUGUUCAGCAAGAUAUCUAAAAGCCUUAGCACGGCCUUUAAGGCAUUAUGGACUCAUUACUUCAUUACGUCGCUGACAUAAUUUCCUUUCCACUCUUCCUCUAAUUUUAUCUCUAACUUAAGAAAUCUAUUUUCUAUAGACAGAAGUUUGGGAGGGUGUGUUGUCUAAGGGGGGGAGCUCUCCACAUCAUCACCAUGUGGGAUUUUAAGAUUAAUACCUGACACUAUUCCUGUAAGCAUAUAAGCAACACAUUUAGAUACUGCUUAGAUAUGUAGAACAUAUACUUGAACAGAUGGGCAUUACACUUAAAUAACUGAUAUAAUAAAAAAUAAAGGUGACUAGUUUUACGGAGAAUAGAUUCACUUAAAUAGAGAUGCAUAGGUCUUUAAAAAUUAAAAAAAAAGUUUGGUUUUAAAACAUCUCUAUUUUGGCUUUCCCAGUGCUUCAUUUUACUGACUAUUGUGAACUUUGAACCACUCAUUGGAAUCAUAGGAAGAGUUAAUUUUUAUGGAUGUACUAAUUGAACAGCAUAUAAAAACAAACACAAACUUAUUAAAUGUGAAGUCUUCUGGGAAGCUUUUAAAA